rnacentral:rRNA from 1 species
GACGAACGCUGGCGGCGUGCUUAACACAUGCAAGUCGAACGGUCCUGUUUUUGAAGCGCUUCGGCGUGGAGGGGACGGGGCAGUGGCGCACGGGUGAGUAAUGCGCGAGGACCUGCCCGCAGGAGGGGGACAGCAGUUGGAAACGGCUGGUGAUACCCCGUAGGCCGGGAGGUGAAAGGGCGGAGACGCCCGCCUGCGGAUGGACUCGCGUCCUAUCAGCUAGUUGGUGAGGCAACGGCUCACCAAGGCGACGACGGGUAGCCGGCCUGAGAGGGUGUCCGGCCACACUGGAACUGAGACACGGUCCAGACUCCUACGGGAGGCAGCAGUGGGGAAUUUUGGGCAAUGGGGGAGACCCUGACCCAGCGACGCCGCGUGAGGGACGAAGGCCCUUGGGUCGUAAACCUCUUUUGCAGGGGAAGAAGAAGAUGACGGUACCUUGCGAACAAGUCCCGGCUAACUACGUGCCAGCAGCCGCGGUAAGCUAGUCUACG